CAGCAGCCGCGGUAAUACGUAGGGGGCAAGCGUUAUCCGGAUUUACUGGGUGUAAAGGGAGCGCAGGCGGUCUGGCAAGUUGAGAGUGGAAGCAGGGGGCUCAACCCCCUGACUGCUCCCAAAACUGUUGGACUGGAGUAUGGGAGAGGCAGGCGGAAUUCCUAGUGUAGCGGUGAAAUGCUCAGAUAUUAGGAAGAACACCGGUGGCGAAGGCGGCCUGCUGGACCAAAACUGACGCUGAGGCUCGAGAGCGUGGGGAGCGAACAGGAUUAGAUACCCCAGUAGUCCCUGUCUCUUAUAA
rnacentral:rRNA from 1 species